GUUUCUAAAAUAUUUGUAGCAAAUUUUUAUGUAAAAAAUCUCAAAUAAUUAGCUUAUGGCUUUAUGAAGCUUUUAGAAUGAUAAGCAAUAUUUUAUAGCUUGCAAAAAUUAUUUAAUCGUAAAGUAUGUAUAAACAAAAAAAACUGAACGAAUCGUUACGUUUAAUUUUUGCAUUACAUACAUCCAUCCUGACAUCAAAUUUUUGUGCUUUUGCUCGGGGCAUAAAAUUGACAUUACAAACUAAACGCAAAUAACCUCAAAAAGUUGACAUUAGAAAAUUUCAUAGAAAUUGCCUUUUAAUAAUUUAAGAAAAUCAAUAUCGUAAUUUCGAAAACAAAAUGUUUCGUCUACCAUUCGAAAAUCGAGUAGAUCCGAUGGAAGAAAAGCGUCAAGCUCGAGAGAACACCAUCAAUAGUGUUAUCACAUUUUGUGUUCUUUGUGCAGCUAUAAGACUGACUCCUGUUAUCAUUGAACACAGCGGAUUUUAAUUUCUGUCCUCACUCGAGUACAAGGCACUACAGUGAUGAGCUGCCACAGAAACUGGUGCGGUGGAGGACAUUAAACUUAACAUGUGGCACUCGAAUGCCUAACCAACAUGUAGCAUCUUGCAAUACUAUUCAAUAGCUGUUAUCAUUCCUUAUUAAUAAAAGAAUGUAGUUUGUUGUUA